UUUCAGAGGAAUGCAAGUUCAUAUGUCGCAGCAAGUUCCAUUGAAGAAAGCAGACCCUUGAUUCCUAUUACCCUAAUAAAUCCUAGCCGUCAAAAACUAAAACCCUAACUACUUAAACUCAGCAGCUUCGCUCAAAUCUCUUUUCUUCUUUCGCUUCUCUCACUCUCACCAGUUGCCUCCGCCACUGCUCAGUACUCACCACCUACAUCACCACCUCUCCAUCGAGAGCACUACCACCUCUAAAAGACUGAGAGGAGCAGCAGGAGUUCUUCAUCUGUAUAGUUGCGUUAAUACUUUGAGGAGCAGUUAACAGACGUUUGUUCUCAAACCUUAUUUCCUCAAAAGGGAGCGCAGAAAAGCAUGGGAUAAUUUGGAAAAAUCUUUUAGCCGGUUUAUUUAUUCAUGUGUUCCCCAAGACUCAUCCCUGCUGCUUUUGGUUUGCACAGUUUACAGACGUUUGUUCUCAAACCUUAUUUCCUCAAAAGGGAGCGCAGAAAAGCAUAGGAUAAUUUGGAAAAAUCUUCA